CAUCAAGUUCACCAAUCAUUUCCUUAAACACCUGUUGUGUGUGAUCUGAUACAUGUAUUCUGCCCUCUAGUGGAUUAUCAUUCCACUGCAAGAAGUGGAAGGGCUUUUUUAUAUUUUCAAAAUGGCUGCUGUCAUUAAAUCCCCCACACAUUUUUGGC